rnacentral:rRNA from 1 species
ACAGCAGUCGCCGCGGUAAUACGGAGGGUGCAAGCGUUAUCCGGAUUUAUUGGGUUUAAAGGGUCCGUAGGCGGACUUAUAAGUCAGUGGUGAAAGCCUGUCGCUUAACGAUAGAACUGCCAUUGAUACUGUAAGUCUUGAGUAUAUUUGAGGUAGCUGGAAUAAGUAGUGUAGCGGUGAAAUGCAUAGAUAUUACUUAGAACACCAAUUGCGAAGGCAGGUUACCAAGAUAUAACUGACGCUGAGGGACGAAAGCGUGGGUAGCGAACAGGAUUAGAGACCCCUGUAGUCCCUGUCUCUUAUAC